UACAGAGGCCUCAAGCGUUGUUCGGAUUCAUUGGGCGUAAAGGGUGCGUAGGCGGCGCGGUAAGUCGGGUGUGAAAUCUCGGAGCUUAACUCCGAAACUGCAUUUGAUACUGCCGUGCUUGAGGACUGGAGAGGAGACUGGAAUUUACGGUGUAGCGGUGAAAUGCGUAGAUAUCGUAAGGAAGACCAGUGGCGAAGGCGGGUCUCUGG
rnacentral:rRNA from 1 species